GGGUCUUGAACUCACAACCACGAGAUCAAGAGUCACACGCUCUACUGUCUGAGCCAGGCAGGUGCCCCUCAAUCAGCACUUGACUAAACAAUUUGGGCUUUUAACUGUUUCUCUCAAGUUCAGCAGCUGAUUACAUUCUCUCAGCCUUUGUGGAAUAGGUAGAGCCCUAGAAUGAUAGGACUUGAGUCAGUGUGAGCACUGAGGCCUCCAGGGGCCCAAGAGGCAUCUUGUCCCAAAAGAAGGAAAGAGAAUGAGGACAGCUCCUGUCCUGAGGCUUCUUUCCACUACAAUGCCAACAAUAGUGGAGAAUCGUGAAUAACUAUUUUACAGUGAGCAAGCUGUUGGAGUGAACUUUACAGAUCAUGAACAAUCAGGGUGUCCAGCCUGGCCUGGCCCCUGGUGUUUGACCAAGAGUUGUCUGUCUGCAGGCCUACGUUUGGGACAAUAACAAGGAUCUGGUGGAGUGGCUGGAGAAACAGCUGACCGAGGAAGAUGGCGUUCGCUCAGUAAUCGAGGAAAACAUCAAAUAUAUCAGCAGAGACUAUGUUCUCAAGCAGAUCCGCAGCUUGGUACAGGCCAAUCCCGAGGUUGCCAUGGACUCCAUCGUCCACAUGACUCAGCACAUCUCACCCACACAGCGAGCAGAGGUCGUGCGGAUCCUCUCCACGAUGGACUCCCCUUCAACGUAGGAAGAGCUUCCUGCCCGUCCCCGCCCUGCCUCUGGAGAAAAGCUGCCUAUUACCGCCGAAGGCACCGGAGACCCAGCCCUGGAAUCCAAGUGGCAUUUUGCUUCCCCUUGAACGUUUUCAGGUUAUGCAUGACAUACUGGGAUAUAGUGUCACAGAGCCCCCAGCGGUCACACCCAUCCCAUUCAGUAUUUAUUACCUUGUCUGUGACUACAGCCCUCUGUCCCUGCCAGGACCUGAGAAGGCAAUGAAGGGUACAAGCCUGUACCAUGAGGUCUCACUACACAAAAGCAGGGCUGCUGCUGGCCUGACAGCUCCCUGGUCCCAGUGCAGGGAAAUGGGAGGUGUUUCCAGGCGGUCAGCAGCCCUCCCUCACCCCUGGCCCCAUGAGCCUGCAGCCACAGGCAGCAGAGGAGGGCUCGGGCAAGGAGGAAGCCUCAAGUCCGUUGUUUUUUUUAACCUCCACCUUCAACCUGGUACGCACUAGGUACAGGAGAGUUCCCAAUUUAAUCACACCAAGGGACCUGUUUCUUCUUCAUGGAGUGUGAAAUCUGCAAGCUCCGUGGGAACUCAAAGAUGAGGGCAAAACCAUGGUCCAAGAAGCAGACCAAGUCAAUGCUGGUGAUUUAGGGGCCUAAACUGUGGGUUUGAUUCUCUUAGAACAAAUGGAAGGAUGGUUGACCCACUACUACCUUGCGUGUCCCUGCUCACCCAGCUGGUGCACCUGCUGGGAGCCACAUAGGCAGUGCAGUAGCCUGAGCAGGGGCCAAAAAGGAGCCUGGGGGAAUGGCCCUUUCCGGCGCUGAUGGCAAGUAGUUACUCAUGCCACAGGGAGGGGGGCCGGAUAGUCUCUCUCUUUUAGGACUUACUAUUAAGCCUGGAGCUUUGAUAGUUAUAAAAGGUUACUAGUGCCUACGGAGUCUCUCAGCUCUAUUUCCAGGGCAACUCUCCUACUCCCUCUGGGUCUCAUCUCUUCCUGGAGUGUCCACAAGCAGCAGGUACAGCUGGUCUCCCCACAGCUGUUGAAAGGAUCCCUGGUGAAGUCUCUGCUGUCAGCACCGGGAACUGGCCUUCCCCGGUGUGAGCAGGCUUCCAGGGAACAGAGAAUCCACAUGACCUUAAGAUUAUCUACAACUCCAUCGUGGUGCUCUGUCUUCCAGGCUCACUGGUCCCUCCCUGGCCGGCAGCAGGGACCUCCUCACCAGUGGUGGAGAUAGUUUAUUUUCAACAACCCGUUUAUUCAAGAAGUAAAGAGUUUACGGAUUCCCCCAUUGGUGUUCCUAAAGCAAGAGUGGCAGGUGAUCAGGGCUGGUAUAGCAUCUAGUUAUUAUGGUGCAGCUAAUUGCAUUUGUCCCUGAUGACCAAGGGGGAAAUAAAUCACUAAGACAUUUUAGUGCAGUGGUAUGAAUACUUUUGUACAAGCUACAGUUUUGAGCCUUAACGCUAGAGUACGCACACAAGAAUGAGCCCCGCCUCCCUUCUUUGGGAACCGUGUGUGCAGACGGGCACCACGUAGCUGGAUGCAUCACUGACCGCCCGCUGGAGCUCGGAGCCUCGGCCAUGCUGCCCUGGUGCAAGGUGCGGGCGUUCGGCACCAUCAAAGAGGGCAGGAAGAGGUGGGGAACAAUGUUCAGUCCAGAAAGAAGCAUCCACUACCAUUGGUAUCGGCUUAAGUAAAAAUUGGAUUCGUCUUGGACCAGGUGAUUCUUUUCCGUAAUUAGUAAAAGUCCACAUACCUGUAGGUGGUACAAACCCCUCUGCUCGCCCUGGUAUUUCUUCAGAGGCAGGGCGGGUCACACUUGUUUCACCUCUCCCCCUUCGCCAGAUUAUGACACACUAAAUGAAUACGGUUCCUCUCGAGAAGUCUGUUCGGCCUACUCCCCCCCACCCCCAGAGCGCUUCACUGCAGGUCUUCCCCCGGACAGGGAUUUUUCAUACAGAGAAGCCAGGAAGAGCCAUAGAACAUGAGCAAUCUGAUAUUCCCCCAGCCCAUUACAUACGCAAGGUUACUGAGCUAGGAGGAGUAUAAAUGAUGUAUUGACCAAGACUUGCUUGAGCAGAGAUUGCCAUAUUCACUUCGUUCACAAAGCAGCCUUCACUUGUCUCAUUGAGAAUUCGAUGGACACAUACCCUGAUGAGCAAGGAGCAUCAGUCAAAUGUAUUUGUUGAAAUAAACCUCCACAUUUGUAGAAGA